rnacentral:rRNA from 1 species
UACGUAGGGGGCAAGCGUUGUCCGGAUUUAUUGGGCGUAAAGAGCGUGUAGGCGGUUUUACAGGUCCGCUGUGAAAACUCGAGGCUCAACCUCGAGCUGUCGGUGGAAACCGUAAGGCUAGAGUCCGGAAGAGGAGAGUGGAAUUCCUGGUGUAGCGGUGAAAUGCGCAGAUAUCAGGAAGAACACCCGUGGCGAAAGCGGCUCACUGGACCACAACUGACGCUGAGGCGCGAAAGCUAGGGGAGCAAACAGG